rnacentral:rRNA from 1 species
UACGAAGGGGGCUAGCGUUGCUCGGAAUUACUGGGCGUAAAGCGCACGUAGGCGGUCUGUUAAGUCGGGGGUGAAAUCCUGGAGCUCAACUCCAGAACUGCCUUCGAUACUGGAAGACUUGAGUCCGGGAGAGGUGAGUGGAACUGCGAGUGUAGAGGUGAAAUUCGUAGAUAUUCGCAAGAACACCAGUGGCGAAGGCGGCUCACUGGCCCGGUACUGACGCUGAGGUGCGAAAGCGUGGGGAGCAAACAGG